CCCGGACCGGCCCCGACCCUUCCCGCCCCUCGCCACGCUCAUUGGGUCGACGCCCAAGCUUAGCCUUCUAAUUGGUCCCUGUCGCUGCCACUCUGAAGCAGCUUGGUGGGCGGUGCCUCAUCACGUGCUUUACGUCACCUGACUGGGCGCUGCGGGAGGGGGAGGAGGAGGAGGAGAAAAAGGGGGAGGAGAUAAGGAGGAGGAGGAGGACAGGGUCACGAGGAGGGUACCCCUAGAUGAGUUCGGAGGCCUGGUCAGGCUGACUCGGCCCCUGCCCCUCCCUUCCCUCCAGCGCUGCCUGACAGCCCUGGGCGACGGGCGCCCUCCUCCCUCCCCCUACGCCCAGCCCCGCGUUUGUGGCCGUGGCCUCUGCCCCCGCCACUGAGUGCGCGUCCCCGGCGCCCUAGCCUGGAGGGGCGCUCGCCUUUGUCUGCUGAUCCCCUCUCCCCUUCUCAUCCCCCCUAAAGGACGGGGAGAGCUCGAGGCCGGAGUGGAAGCGAGCGCUGGCGCGGGGCGGCCUCCCUAGGAGAGGAAGCUGCGCUGGCCGAAAGGGCCAGUCGGGCCUGAGGGUCGCCUUCCGGAGAUUUCCUGCAGCCGCCCUGGACUCGGGACUUGAAGACCCACGACCGAUUCCCUUCUCCACCUUCGCGAGCACUUGGUGCGGCCGGCCUCCAGCCAGGUCUGUGCUCAAAAGCCCUCCCUGCCUGGACAUAUCUACCUGGAGAAUGCUGAUGAUGGAAAUGAACAAAGGGGGCGGGAGACAUCUGACUCUCUGUGGGUAGUUUCCUUGAGCAUCUGGAGGAAGGAUCCACUUUGAGAUGGGUCUGUGAACCUUUCGACACCACAUAUUAAGUAA